AUUGAACGCUGGCGGCAUGCCUUACACAUGCAAGUCGAACGGUAACGGGCCUUCGGGUGCCGACGAGUGGCGAACGGGCGAGUAAUACAUCGGAACGUGCCCGACCGUGGGGGAUAACGAGGCGAAAGCUUUGCUAAUACCGCAUACGAUCUACGGAUGAAAGCAGGGGACCGCAAGGCCUUGCGCGGACGGAGCGGCCGAUGGCGGCUUAGGUAGUUGGUGGGAUAAAAGCUUACCAAGCCGACGAUCUGUAGCUGGUCUGAGAGGAUGAUCAGCAACACUGGGACUGAGACACGGCCCAGACUCCUACGGGAGGCAGCAGUGGGGAAUUUUGGACAAUGGGCGCAAGCCUUAUCCAGCCAUGCCGCGUGCAGGAUGAAGGCCUUCGGGUUGUAAACUGCUUUUGUACGGAACGAAAAGCCUUCUUUUAAUACAGGAGGGUCAUGACGGUACCGUAAGAAUAAGCACCGGCUAACUACGUG
rnacentral:rRNA from 1 species